rnacentral:rRNA from 1 species
AAUUUAAAUUAUGGGUGUGAUCUUGGCUUGGAGUGAAUGCUAGCUAAGUGUCUAACACAUGCAAGUCAAGGUGUUAAUCACAAUUACUUUGUAAGUGUGGGGAACAACUGGCGUCGUGGUGAGUAUAUACGUGUAAGAUAACAUUACAGGAGUUAAAUACUUAAAAAGCGCUUUAGCGCGUGUAAUGGGUCGAUGCGUAUGGGAUUAGGUUUUCAACUAAGUUGAGCCUACGAUCUCUAGUUGAUUUGAGAGAUGGGUCAACCACAUGGGGUAUGGAAACUACCCCGCCCUUAGGCAGCAGUGAAGAAUAUUAGGCAAUGUGCGAAAGCAUGACCUAUCAAAUUAGCGGAGAUGAAGAAGAUUCAAUUGUAAAGUCUAUACGUACGUGAGCAUAUGAGGGUAAGCGUAAAAAGAAGUCAUGGCUAAUACAGGUGCCAGCAGCCGCGGUAAUACCUGAGUGAUUAGCAUUAUUCGGCAUGAUUGGGCGUAAAGGAUACGUAGG